GAUGAACGCUGGCGGCGUGCCUAAUACAUGCAAGUCGAGCGAACGGACGAGAAUCUUGCUUCUCUGAUGUUAGCGGCGGACGGGUGAGUAACACGUGGAUAACCUACCUAUAUGACUGGGAUAACUUCGGGAACCCGUAGCUAAUACCGGAUAAUAUUUUGAACCGCAUGGUUCAAUAGUGAAAGACGGUCUUGCUGUCACUUAUAGAUGGAUCCGCGCUCCAUUAGCUAGUUGGUAAGGUAACGGCUUACCAAGGCAACGAUGCAUACCUGACCUGAGAGUGUGAUCGGCCACACACGAACGGAGACGCGCUCCAGACUCCUACGGGAGGCAGCAGUAGGGAAUCUUCCGCAGUGGGCGAAAGCCUGACGGAGCAACGCCGCGUGAGUGAUGAAGGUCUUCGGAUCGUAAAACUCUGUUAUUAGGGAAGAACAUAUGUGUAAGUAAAUGUGCACAUCUUGACGGUACCUAAUCAGAAAGCCACGGCUAACUACGUG
rnacentral:rRNA from 1 species